CACUAAGAAGCUAAUUUGGUGAUAAGCAUUAGCCUUUUAAGCUAAAGAUUGGUGACUACCCCUCACCCUUAGUGA
ensembl:Mt_tRNA